GAGGUUGUGGCUCAGUGGUAGAGUGCUUGCCUAGUGUGUGUGAGGCACUGGGUUUGAUUCUCAGCACCACA
rnacentral:tRNA from 1 species